GUUGAAAUUGACAUCUGUUCCUCUGUCGGGGGCCUGCGGGGAGAACGUUAACUUUGGGGUUAGAACCGGGAGAAGAUUCGCUGGCGAAGGGUCUCAUCGCAAGAACAUCUCCACUUCUCCUUUUCAUGCUGAUGUCCCUUUAUUUGCACAAAGGCCUGAUUUGCACUGAGAUGUUACAACCCGCAGGAAAUUAUACUUCACCCAUCACCACAGGAGCUGAGUUCUGAUGGCACAGAAUGAAUUAUGAAAUACUAAUUUUUUAUGGGGUUGUAAUGAACAGGAAAUUUAAGCUUAUGACUCAAUGA